GGGAGUGUAGCUCAGUCAGGAGAGUGCUCGCCUUGUGUNCCUGAGGCCUGGGUUCUAUCUCCAGCACUACCC
rnacentral:tRNA from 1 species